AUUGAACGCUGGCGGCAGGCUUAACACAUGCAAGUCGAGCGAGCGGCGGACGGGUGCGUAAUGUCUGGGAAACUGCCUGAUGGAGGGGGAUAACUACUGGAAACGGUAGCUAAUACCGCAUACCAUCAGAUGUGCCCAGAUGGGAUUAGCUAGGAGGUGGGGUAAUGGCUCACCUAGGCGACGAUCCCUAGCUGGUCUGAGAGGAGGACCGGCCACACUGGAACUUAGACACGGUCCAGACUCCUACGGGAGGCAGCCGUGGGGAAUAUUGCACGAGGGGCGCAAGCCUGAUGCAGCCAUGCCGGGUGUGUGAAGAAGGCUUUCUGGUUGGAAAGCACGUUCAGCGAGGAGGCGUUACUCGCAGAAGAAGCACCGGCUAACUCCGUGCCAGCAGCCGCGGUAAUAC
rnacentral:rRNA from 1 species